rnacentral:rRNA from 1 species
UACGUAGGGAGCAAGCGUUGUCCGGAAUCAUUGGGCGUAAAGCGCGCGUAGGUGGUCCCGUAAGUCCGCUGUGAAAGUCAAAGGCUCAACCUUUGAAAGCCGGUGGAUACUGUGGGACUAGAGUACGGAAGAGGCGAGUGGAAUUCCUGGUGUAGCGGUGGAAUGCGCAGAUAUCAGGAGGAACACCAAUAGCGAAGGCAGCUCGCUGGGACGUUACUGACACUGAGGCGCGAAAGCGUGGGUAGCAAACAGG